CAUGAAUCUCAUAAAUUAAUUUCCCCACUUCUUUUCUUUAUAGCCUCAGUCAUAGUUCAGUUGACGCACCACAGCUAAUAUUAGCUAACUGUGGAUCCACGUCAUCACCUGAACAAUUCUUUUUUUUUUUUUUUUUAAUUUGUAAAGCUGUGAAAUGUACACAAUGACGCUGUAGACGACGUUACUUGAGUUUUAGCACUAUCGUCU